rnacentral:rRNA from 1 species
UACGUAGGGGGCAAGCGUUGUCCGGAUUUAUUGGGCGUAAAGCGCGCGUAGGCGGCGCGGUAUGUCGUGCGUGAAAUCUCCCGGCUUAACUGGGAGGGGCCGUGCGAAACUGCCGGGCUUGAGGUCGGAAGGGGAAAGUGGAAUUCCGGGUGUAGUGGUGGAAUACGUAGAUAUCCGGAGGAACACCAGCGGCGAAGGCGGCUUUCUGGUCCGAUACUGACGCUGAGGUGCGAAAGCGUGGGGAGCGAUCAGG